GUGCCAGCCGCGGCGGUAAUACGGAGGGUGCAAGCGUUAUCCGGAUUCACUGGGUUUAAAGGGUGCGUAGGUGGGCUGGUAAGUCAGUGGUGAAAUCUCCGGGCUUAACUCGGAAACUGCCAUUGAUACUAUCAGUCUUGAAUAUUGUGGAGGUUAGCGGAAUAUGUCAUGUAGCGGUGAAAUGCAUAGAUAUGACAUAGAACACCAAUUGCGAAGGCAGCUGGCUACACAUAUAUUGACACUGAGGCACGAAAGCGUGGGAUCAAACAGGAUUAGAUACCCUGGUAGUCCACGCCCUAAACUAUGGAUACUCGACAUACGCGAUACACUGUGUGUGUCUGAGCGAAAGCAUUAAGUAUCCCGACCUGGGAAGUACGAUCGCAAGAUUGAAACUCAAAGG
rnacentral:rRNA from 1 species